rnacentral:piRNA from 1 species
UGAUGCAAUGAAGGUGAUGUUCUUUUUGGCU